rnacentral:rRNA from 1 species
CGUGCCGUGAGGUGUUAGGUUAAGUCCUGUAACGAGCGCAACCCCUGUCGUCAGUUAUACGUGUCUGACGAGACUGCCGGUCAUAAACCGGAGGAAGGCGGGGAUGACGUCAAGUCCGCAUGGCCUUUAUAUCCGGGGCUACACACACGCUACAAUGGCCGGUACAAUGGGUCGCCAAGCCGCGAGGCGGAGCCAACCCUAUAAAGCCGGUCUCAGUUCGGAUUGCAGGCUGCAACCCGCCUGCAUGAAGUCAGAGUUGCUAGUAAUCGCGGAUCAGCACGCCGCGGUGAAUACGUUCCCGGGCCUU